rnacentral:rRNA from 1 species
GGAGGGCAAGUCUGGUGCCAGCAGCCGCGGUAAUUCCAGCUCCAAUAGCGUAUAUUAAAGUUGUUGCAGUUAAAAAGCUCGUAGUUGAACCUUGGGUCUGGCUGGUCGGUCCGCCUCACCGCGAGUACUGAUCCGGCUGGACCUUUCCUUCUGGGGAACCUCAUGGCCUUCACUGGCUGUGGGGGGAACCAGGACUUUUACUGUGAAAAAAUUAGAGUGUUCAAAGCAGGCCUUUGCUCGAAUACAUUAGCAUGGAAUAAUAGAAUAGGACGUGCGGUUCUAUUUUGUUGGUUUCUAGGACCGCCGUAAUGAUUAAUAGGGACAGUCGGGGGCAUCAGUAUUCAAUUGUCAGAGGUGAAAUUCUUGGAUUUAUUGAAGACUAACUACUGCGAAAGCAUUUGCCAAGGAUGUUUUCAUUAAUCAGGAACGAAAGUUAGGGGAUCGAAGACGAUCAGAUACCGUCGUAGUCUUAACCAUAAACUAUGCCGAUUAGGGAUCGGACGGCGUUAUUUUUUGACCCGUUUGGCACCUUACGGGAAAC